rnacentral:rRNA from 1 species
GGGUGAGUAACACGUAGGGAACCUGCCCGCGCACCGGGAAUACGCUCUGGAAACGGAGAACAAAUCCCGAUGUACAGGAAGGAGGCAUCUUCUUUCUGUGGAACAUCCUUUAGGGGAUGGGGCGCGGAUGGACCUGCGGUGCAUUAGUUGGUUGGCGGGGUAAAGGCCCACCAAGACGAUGAUGCAUAGCCGGCCUGAGAGGGCGGACGGCCACAUUGGGACUGAGACACGGCCCAGACUCCUGCGGGAGGCAGCAGUAGGGAAUUUUCGUCAAUGGGCGCAAGCCUGAACGAGCGAUGCCGCGUGAGUGAAGAAGGCCUUCGGGUCGUAAAGCUCUGUUGCGGGGGAAAAAAGGCAGCAUCAGGAAAUGGGUGCUGACUGAUGGUGCCCCGCCAGAAAGUCACGGCUAACUACGUGCCAGCAGCCGCGGUAAUACGUAGGUGGCGAGCGUUAUCCGGAAUGAUUGGGCGUAAAGGGUGCGCAGGCGGUCCUGCAAGUCUGGAGUGAAACGCAUGAGCUCAACUCAUGCAUGGCUUUGGAAACUGGAGGACUGGAGAGCAGGAGAGGGCGGUGGAACUCCAUGUGUAGCGGUAAAAUGCGUAGAUAUAUGGAAGAACACCAGUGGCGAAGGCGGCCGCCUGGCCUGUUGCUGACGCUGAGGCACGAAAGCGUGGGGAGCAAAUAGGAUUAGAUACCCUAGUAGUCCACGCCGUAAACGAAG